rnacentral:rRNA from 1 species
CAGCAGCCGCGGUAAUACGAAGGGUGCAAGCGUUACUCGGAAUUACUGGGCGUAAAGCGUGCGUAGGUGGUGGUUUAAGUCCGUUGUGAAAGCCCUGGGCUCAACCUGGGAAUUGCAGUGGAUACUGGAUCACUAGAGUGUGGUAGAGGAUAGUGGAAUUCCCGGUGUAGCGGUGAAAUGCGUAGAGAUCGGGAGGAACAUCAGUGGCGAAGGCGGCCAUCUGGGACAACACUGACGCUGAGGCACGAAAGCGUGGGGAGCAAACAGGAUUAGAUACCCCUGUAGUCCCUGUCUCUUAUAC